CUAGGAAAUUGCUAGAGUAGAGCAUCAGUUACCUUUUUCACUGCGUGGUGCUCAUACUUAACAACAGUGAGAGAAACAGUAAGGAUUUCUUGAGCGUCUUUCACCAGCUUAACCUAAGAGUGGUUACACCCAAUCCAUACCACAUUCCAACCAGUAAACAGGAUAUGGGCACUGUGGUCCUGGGAAAGCUGGAAUCAGGAUCUAUUUGUAAAGGCCAACAGCUUGUGAUGAUGCCAAACAAGGUAAGAGUAAAUAAUACUCUUUCUCAUUUAGAUUUUCUCUUCAAAAUAUUAGCAAGGAGCCAGAACUUUUCAAGAGCUUAGGGAUUUCCAUGAAAACAUGACAUUAAUAAAAUGUAAUCCUGGAUUUUAACAGUUAAGUAUAGAAUUUAAUACAGAAUAUAUGAUGGUAUAGUUAUUCAGUGACAAAUGGGGAAGGGUCAGUAUUAGCAACACAUUAGAGCUAAGAUGCCUCAUCAAGAGAUUUUUAGCUCCAUUCUCUUAUAGGAAGUAAGUAAGAGACCUGGAGUGGUUAAGUGACUUGCUUCUGUUAACACACUGGAUUAAGUGAGCCAGGGCUGAAAACUCAGGUUUAAUCAUGAUAUAAUUGGCUUUUUUAUUUUAUUUAUUUAUUUUUAGUAUGUAGCUAUGCUGGGUACUAAUGUGUUCAAGUAAUGCUCCUAAUUUGUUUUGAGAAGAGGAUUUGCCUAUAUUAUGAGUGGGUCUUUUCUUAACUCUUUCUAUCUUAUUGUAAUUUCUUCAUUAUUGGAGAGGGUUUCAUUAAAAUACCCAGAUCCCCACAAAUGUUUCCUAUGUGUUAUUUCUAACUGCUCAGUCAGUGAUAAUUGCAGCUGACCUGUUUGUUACCAAGAAACUGUUACUGUUUUCCAGAGAGGGCUUCUCUAACAAGUCAAGGAUAUUUAGGUAGGAAGACAGACCUGAAUCAUCAGUCUGCAAACAGAGAUUUUGUUAGGUUUGAGAGAAUCUCUUACCAUGCUCAUCCCAGGCACAGUGAAUUAAAAAAAGGGAUCCAUUGUCAAAGUAAUGCUUAGGUGUAAUUAGCAACUUGCAGAUUAUACUACUUUUUAGGUUUCUUGAUGCCUUAUACAUUGGAGGAUGGAGUCUCCUAUCAUAGUCUCUUACUUUCUAAGGCAAUUAUCUCUGCUACUUGAAGGUCAGUGACAACUGAAGGAAAAUAACAGUCAGGUAAAAUCCUUGCUCAAUUUUGUCUGUAGAGCAGUCACAGAAGUAGACUUUGCUCAUGGAGAUAGAAGGUGGACUGGUGGUUGCAAGGGGCUAGGGGAGGAAGAAUAGGAAGGAACUGCUUAAUGGACACAGGGUUGUGGGGUGGUGAUGUUUGGGAGCUAGGUACCAGGUAUAGUUGUACAACAUUGUGAAAGGAAUAGAUGCUGCUGAAGUGUACAAUGUAAAAUGGAUUUGAAAAGUAAAUUUUUUUAUAUGAGUAUAUACUACAACAGAAUGAAAAGUACAAUUCACUGUGUGCUUGUAUCCUUAGUGCCGGGGCUAUUGCUGUAGGUGAGGGGCCUUAAUAUAUGAGUUUCAGAUUCUCUGUGGAAGUGAUCACCUUAUGCUAAUAUAGGUCCAUGUAACAUAUCCCAGAGUUGCUAGGCAAACCUUAAAAACUCACUGCCCUUUAGUCAUCUUGACUCUCAGUGGAAAAAAAAGUUAAAUAUUUUAAAAGACACAGAUGCCACACUAUUUUAUAUUAAAAACAGCUAAUGAGUAGGCAACCUAUGGAAUGGCAAAAUACAAUUACAUACCAUAAAUCUGAUAAGAGGUUAAUAUCCAAAAUAUGUCAAAAAAGUUCUGCAACUCGAAAACAAAACAAAAAAAUACCUGACUAGAAAAUGAGCAAAGGGCUUGAUUUCUCCAAAGAGGAUGUACAAAUGGCCAAUAAGCACAAGGAAAGACGGUCAACAUCACUGGUCAUUGGGGAAAUGCAGAUCAGGACCACAGUAAGGUAUCACCUCACAGCCAUCAGGAGAGCUAUGAUCAAAAAACAGAAAAUAACAAAUGUUAAGGAUGUGGAGAAAUUGGAAUGCUUGUGCACUCUUGGUGGGAAUGUAAAAUUGUGCAGCUGGUAAGGAAUAUGUAAUGAUAUUUCCUCAAACAAUAAAAUCCUAUGAUCCAGCAUUUCCACUUCUGCAUAUAUACCCAAAAUCAUUGAAUACCAAGCUUCAGGAACCUUUGUUCACAGCAGCAUUAUUUGCAGUAGCUAAAACAUGGAACCAACCUGUCAUGUCCAUUGAUGGAUGAGUGGAUGAACAAAAUGUCUUGUACACAUAACAGUGGGAUUAUUCGGCUUAAAGAGGAAAGAAAUUCUGAUACGCUACAACAAGGAUGAACCUUGAAGGCAUUAUGCUAAGUGAAAUAAGCUAGUCACAAAAAGAUGAAUAACAUAUGGUUCAACUUCUAUGAGGUACUUAGAGCAGGUAAAAUCCUUAAUAAACUUUCAUAAACUAAGAGAAUUUGCUGGUCUCAAUCUUAAUUUUUUGUGACUAUGAAUUAAUUUAAAGGUUAGACUAGCUGUAUUGUGUUUAGCUAUAAAAGACCAUAUUUGUGGAGAGGGAUUGUUACACUGGAUUAUUUGGGCAAAAACUAGUAAACAAG